rnacentral:rRNA from 1 species
AUUGAACGCUGGCGGCAUGCUUUACACAUGCAAGUCGAACGGUAACAGGCCUUCGGGUGCUGACGAGUGGCGAACGGGUGAGUAAUGCAUCGGAACGUACCCAGAGGUGGGGGAUAACGCAGCGAAAGCUGUGCUAAUACCGCAUGUGAUCUGAGGAUGAAAGCGGGGGACCGAGCAGCAAUGUUUGGCCUCGCGCCUUUGGAGCGGCCGAUGUCGGAUUAGCUAGUUGGUGGGGUAAAGGCCUACCAAGGCGACGAUCCGUAGCUGGCCUGAGAGGACGACCAGCAAAACGGGAGCUGAGACACAGCCAAGACUCCUACGGGAGGCACCAGUGGGGAUGUGGGAGCAGUGUGCGCAAGCCUGUCCCAGCAAUGCCGCGGGCAGGAAGAGGGCCCUCGGGUUGUAAACCGCUUUUGGCAGGAACGAAACGCUGUCCGCUAAUACCGGGGGCUAAUGACGGUACCUGCAGAAUAAGCACCGGCUAACUACGUG